rnacentral:rRNA from 1 species
UGGGGAAUAUUGGACAAUGGGGGCAACCCUGAUCCAGCCAUGCCGCGUGUCUGAAGAAGGCCUUCGGGUUGUAAAGGACUUUUGUCAGGGAGCAAAUCCUGCUUGUGAAUAAUGGGUGGGGAUGAGAGUACCUGAAGAAUAAGCACCGGCUAACUACGUGCCAGCAGCCGCGGUAAUACGUAGGGUGCAAGCGUUAAUCGGAAUUACUGGGCGUAAAGCGCGCGUAGGUGGUUUGUUAAGUUGGAUGUGAAAGCCCCGGGCUCAACCUGGGAACUGCAUCCAAAACUGGCAAGCUAGAGUAUGGUAGAGGGUGGUGGAAUUUCCUGUGUAGCGGUGAAAUGCGUAGAUAUGCGGAGGAACACCGAUGGCGAAGGCAAUCCCCUGGGCCUGUACUGACGCUCAUGCACGAAAGCGUGGGGAGCAAACA